rnacentral:sRNA from 21 species
CUAUAUUUUUAAAUCACACACAUUUCGACACAUAUUCCGGGGUGCCAAUGAAAAAUUGGUCGGAAUUAUGGGGAAUGUGGAGGCCUAAC